UUCCUGUUGACGCCAAUUUUUUUUUAAUUUGCAUAAAAAAAUCGGCUCUAUAGGUAGA
rnacentral:precursor_RNA from 1 species